GAUGAACGCUGGCGGCGUGCCUAAUACAUGCCAGUCGAGCGAACAGACGAGGAGCUUGCUCCUCUGAUGUUAGCGGCGGACGGGUGAGUAACACGUGGAUAACCUACCUAUAAGACUGGGAUAACUUCGGGAAACCGGAGCUAAUACCGGAUAACAUGUUGAACCGCAUGGUUCAACAGUGAAAGACGGUUUUGCUGUCACUUAUAGAUGGAUCCGCGCCGCAUUAGCUAGUUGGUAAGGUAACGGCUUACCAAGGCAACGAUGCGUAGCCGACCUGAGAGGGUGAUCGGCCACACUGGAUCUGAGACACGGUCCAGACUCCUACGGGAGGCAGCAGUAGGGAAUCUUCCGCAAUGGGCGAAAGCCUGACGGAGCAACGCCGCGUGAGUGAAGAAGGUCUUCGGAUCGUAAAACUCUGUUAUUAGGGAAGAACAAAUGUGUAAGUAACUAUGCACGUCUUGACGGUACCUAAUCAGAAAGCCACGGCUAACUACGUG
rnacentral:rRNA from 1 species